rnacentral:lncRNA from 1 species
AUGAACUUAGAAGAUAAAAAUAUUGAAUCUUUACAAAAAAAAAAAAAAAAUAGAGAAAGAAAAUCACAUGACAAUCAAAGAGACUUACAAAUAGAGAAAGAAAACCAAGAAAAUCCAUAAAUCUCUAGCAUCAAUAAGCAAUCAUCCUUAACAAUCAUCAAUAAAUGGAAAUCAACAAUGCAUGUGGCCUAUGCAUCCAUACUAACUAAAGGUAAAC